UGUACCUACGGGGGGCAGCAGUAGGGAAUAUUUCUCAAUUUGUUAAACCCUUAAUCAUCAACUCCUCUUUUAUUAUUAAGGUUUUAGGAUUGUAAACUCCUUUUGUUAGAGAAGAUAAUGACGGUAUCUCACGAAUAAGCACCGGCUAACUCCGUGCCAGCAGCCGCGGUAAUACGGAGGGUGCAAGCGUUACUCGGAAUCACUGGGCGUAAAGAGUGCGCAGUCGGGCUUGUAAGUCAUAGUUGUAAUCCUGUAUGUUAACUACAGAACUGCAUUUGAAACU
rnacentral:rRNA from 1 species